CUUUUUUAACAGUUAACUAUUAUAAUCAGGUUAUGAUUAUGGCAAUUCGAUCAAAUAUAAUUUACAAAGAAAACUUAUGAAUAGAAGCCAUGGAGAGCUAAUAACUUUCAUUAUUACCAACCUGAUAAACGACAGAGAGAAAAUGAAAGUAAGUACAGUACUAGGAAACAACGUAAAUAAUCAUCUAAAAUAUUUUUUUGUAUUGCUUAAAUUUUUUCUUAUAUUAUUGCUUUACACUUCAGUUUUUAUUAUUUUUUUCCCCCAAAUGAUGAGUGAUAAAAUCAUUGACAGCCAAUCGGAGACGCAGGAACAGUAAAAACGGCUGGUGUGCACGUCAGUGUAGUUAUUUACAAUAAAUAAAACAGUGAAUAAAUUGGUAAGUGACAUAAUAAUGAUUAAUCGAAUUACAUUAAACUUUUAUAACAAUGACUUUUAUUUUGACAUCAAACUCCGGAAGUUGUCUCCGGAAGUCCUCGCUGAGCGCAAAGAGUUGUACCUGUCUGCGUGCGUAUGUUCAAAAGAAACCGGUUUAUUUGUCCGGCGUGAAUUACAUUUGUGGUCUUUGGUGUGGACACGAAUGUACCGCUUAUACUUCGAGUCAAGUGACCAAUUUUAGGUUUAAACUCUUCUGAAUGUCAUGGAGAACUUUGUGGUUUACAUUCCCAAGGAAGCAUGUGUCAAAAACAUGCCUCUGCAGUCCCUGUCCAGCUCCACAGCCAGGAAGAUCAGUGUCGCUCUGUUUCCGCAUGGAUCAGAGAAACAGGUGCCGCAGACGGUGACGCGGAUCUGUCCGGUUGAGCUGCGGGAGAAAGAAGUGGCUGUGGGCAAGGACCGCAGAGAACCGGUCCCACUGAGCCAGAGGCAGCUGGUUUCCAAAAUAACUCCAGGUCAGUUUUCACUGCCUGUUGUGAGUUCCAGCAAAACUGCCUUUAAGGCCUUAAGAAGGAUCUUAAAAGAACAUAAGCCUGAAAUACAGUUUUCGGGGCUGGACAGUGAAGCUGCCUCUCUGCCCAGCAUCAGGAAUUCUGAUGUUCGGCGAAAUGCCAUCAUUCUGUAUAACGGCCAGAUCUUCCUCUCAGUGAGGCGAGUGAGAUUACAGAACUCUCCCUCAGCACCUCCAGCUGUGUGUCCUGUUUCUCCCAGUCAACAGAACCAGAUUAACACAUCUAGAUGUCAAGCACAAGCACUCCUGGAAAACUCACCCAGACCAAAACAGAGCAAGAGUCAGGAUGUUCAGACUCCAGUCAGAGAUCUUGAUAUUAACACUCUUCUGAACAAAGUCUCUGAAGAAAUGCCUGAACAAUGCUGUACAGACAAAGAAUGUCAAAAGGAAGAGGAGACAGCCUCAGAGUCCAGGUCACGGAGUAGCGACCCUAAAUCUCCUGAGGGUCUGGAGUCUGGUCAGGAGACGUCUAGUUCCCUGCCUAGUAUCUUCCAGCCGUCCCAGAUCAACCACACAUCUUCUGGCAUCUCAGAACAGCCCGAAGAAGCAGCAGGAGGACAAAGAGAGACAUCUGAGGUUGACAAUGAGCGUUCAGAGGGCGCGUUACUCCCCAGGGCUGAGAGCUGUCUUGCAUUUGAUUUUGAACAGUUGGCCCAGGAGGAGAGAAUCAACCACCUACGAGCUCAGCUGAGACAGAAGGAAGCCGCACUCAGCAUCUUCAACUUGAAGCCGACGGAUCAGAUUUAGAGGAUCUGACUGUGCCAAAGCUGUCUGUUCAGGAGGUAUAACAGUUCCUUGUGCAUCCUAUUAUUUGAGCAGCAGAAGAAUGUCAUAAAGCUUAAAGGAACAUUUCACCCAAAAAUUAAAAUUCUGUGAUCAUUUACUCACCCUGAAGUUGUUCCAAAUCUGAAUGACUUUCUUCCUUCUGCUGAACACAAAAGAAUAUAUUUUUAAAGUAUGUGGGUAGUUGCUGGUCCCCGUUGACCUACAUAGUAUGGGGACAAGCCACUGUGUGGUUACCCACACUCUUCAAAAUAUCUUCUUUUGUUUUCAGCUGCAGAAGAAAUUUAUACAGGUUUGGGACAACUUGAGGAUGACUAAAUGAUGACAGAAUUAAAUUUUUUAGGUGAACUAUCUCUUUAAGAUGAAUAUGUUUGUUAAUUCAGUUGUUCAUUAUUUGACAGCACAAAUAUUGUCAUUUAAUUUAAAUAUAAAUGCAAAAUAAUAAUUUUCACACCAUAAGAGACACAUUUCUGAAUAUUUUGUGUAUGUGCAAUAAAUAUGGUGAAUAAUUUGUGAAUAGCA
ensembl:lncRNA